GGAUGAACGCUAGCGGCAGGCCUAAUACAUGCAAGUCGAACGGUGAUAGCAAUAUCAUAGUGGCGCACGGGUGCGUAACACGUAUGCAACCUACCUAUUAUUGGGGGAUAGCCCUUGGAAACGGAGAUUAAUACCGCAUAAUACGAUUGACUGGCAUCGGUUGAUUGUUAAAGCUUCGGCGAUAAUAGAUGGGCAUGCGUCCAAUUACUUAGUUGGUUAGGUAACGGCUGACCAAGACAAUGAUUGGUAGGGGAUCUGAGAGGAUAAUCCCCCACACUGGCACUGAGAUACAGGCCACACUCCUACGGGAGGCAGCAGUAGGGAAUAUUGGGCAAUGGGCGGAAGCCUGACCCAGCCAUGCCGCGUGCAGGAAGAAGGCGUUAUGCGUUGUAAACUGCUUUUUUAUAGGAAGAAGGAUCCCUUGCGAGGGAAGGUGACGGUACUAUAAGAAUAAGCACCGGCUAACUCCGUGCCAGCAGCCGCGGUAAUACGGAGGGUGCAAGCGUUGUCCGGAUUUAUUGGGUUUAAAGGGUGCGU
rnacentral:rRNA from 1 species